GUAGGGUGCAAGCGUUGUCCGGAAUUAUUGGGCGUAAAGAGCUCGUAGGCGGUCUGUCACGUCGGCUGUGAAAACCCGAGGCUCAACCUCGGGCCUGCAGUCGAUACGGGCAAACUAGAGUACUGCAGGGGAGACUGGAAUUCCUGGUGUAGCGGUGAAAUGCGCAGAUAUCAGGAGGAACACCGGUGGCGAAGGCGGGUCCCUGGGCAGUAACUGACGCUGAGGAGCGGAAGCGUGGCGAGCGAACAGGAUUAGAUACCCUGGUAGUCCACGCCGUAAACGUUGGGCGCUAGGUGUGGGGGCCAUUCCACGGUCUCCGUGCCGCAGCUAACGCAUUAAGCGCCCCGCCUGGGGAGUACGGCCGCAAGGCUA
rnacentral:rRNA from 1 species